rnacentral:rRNA from 1 species
UACGUAGGGACCGAGCGUUGUCCGGAAUCAUUGGGCGUAAAGAGCGUGUAGGCGGCUUGUUAAGUCUUGCGUGAAAUCUCGGGGCUCAACCCCGAGCGGUCGUGAGAAACUGGCAGGCUAGAGUGCGGGAGAGGAGAGUGGAAUUCCUGGUGUAGCGGUGAAAUGCGCAGAUAUCAGGAGGAACACCGGUGGCGAAGGCGGCCCACUGGGCUGUCACUGACGCUGAGGCGCGAAAGCUCGGGGAGCGAACGGG